ACAGAUGGGGACACGGUGGGACAGACGACGCGGCAGGCCCGGGCCAGCCAGCCACAGGGUCCCCCCAAAAUGAGAGUGGACCCCCUGCUAAGAAGUGGGACGGGCCGGCGGUGGGAAAGGGUCCCCUCGGAAAGAGCGUCCCCGCGUGAGCUGGGGCCCUUGGUGAGCCGGAGAGAUUUCGAAGUGGACCCGGGGAAGCUGCCCCCGUGGAGAACCGGGAUUCACGGCCGCCUGCCCCUCAGGCUGCUCCUAAUUGGGAGUGUGCCGUUUGUUUGCAUCUUCAGCGCCGGGCGGGGGUCUUUCCCAGGUGCCUCCCCAGAGCCAGCCGUCCAUGUUCUGCACAGCCAGGCAUCCUCUCAGGGGGACAGCUCUGGAGCAGCCACAUCUUUUCUUUAAGGAGCACAAAGACCUCGAGAUUGCUUUCUUCCUGUUUUGCAUCACUUCCCUGACUAAUACAGACACACUGUAUUUGCAUAACACAGUUUUGGUCCGCAUGGGACCCCAUCUCCAGCUUCCUGAAUAUGCAUUUUAUUCUGUGCGAUGUCUGAAUGUUGCACCUCUAAUCUCACCACCAGCCUGUGUGCUUCCACUGAGUUAUUCUCCAGGCUUUAGAGCCGCACCUCCAAUUUGUAAGCUGAGCUAACGAUUACAUUUUCAUCUCUGGAAGAUGUUAAAUGAAAGCAUGCCUUGUGGGGAGAAUAAAUCAAAGAUCUCAGCAUGAGUGGCCCCCUACCCCCAGCCCAACUUCUCUGCUUGCUCAGUGGAGGCUGGAGAAUAAACUCCCCUUUCUCUCGAACAUUCAUCUUCACCCAGAGAACCUUGCAGGAACUAUGCUCUUAAUACAGCAUUGUUUAGCCCCCUUCGCUGAGAUGCUUUCACUUGAUCAGCCCAGAGAAUAACCAUUUCGCAGCCUUGGAGACAGAGUUCAGUGAUUGAAGUGCCAGCCGACGGAAACGGCGUGGGACCCCAGAUAGCUGGGAUCGAUGAAGAAACUGUCCAUCCCUAAAAGAAUAGGACAACAGACAGGUUGCAGUUGCAAAAACUGCGAUCAGAAUUUCGCUGAGACAAUGGUCUGGAGAUCCUGAACUGACAUCCUGUAAGAAUUUCAAUGUAUUGAACGUAACUGGUAAAAUUUUGGAAGCUUAUGUGAGGAAUGAUUGUUAUUUUCUUCAUAAACUUGGAUUUAAAUGUCUGUAUUCCAAAUGCUUUGUUGAUUUAACCAAUGGCCCAUUGCGGGCAUGAAUUACACAGUGUAAAACUGAGAAGAAAAAUCACGUAAAUGCUGUCAGGAGAGGCAGCGCGGCCUGCUGUUCUCAGCGAACUGGGUGACAAAGUCCCAUCCCUCCUCCACGGCCGCCACGGGGCCUCCCUCCUGAGUUCUCAGAGCUGCAAGCUGUCCAGUAGUAAAGGGGAAAUCUCUGAAGAGCUAUUUUGUUCAUUUAUGAUUUUAAAACGAAAGUAGCAGCAGGUGCUGUCAGCACCUUCAUGACUUGACCCUCUGGAACAGGUUCAGAGACGCUCCUGGGGACCCGGGAAGGGGUCGGGAGGCUCUGCGGCUCCUGGUACCUCAGCGAGGUUCUCAGUCCCAACCGCCCAUCAGAGUCAUCGGGGCAACUUUUAAAAGAUGGGUGCCCAGGCCCAGCGCAGCCCAUUAACCAGACUCUUUGGUGGAAGCUUCCAGUGUCAGGACCAAUCUCCGCAGGUGAUUCCAACGUGUGGCUGUGAGCCAGCAGCCCAAGGGGAUGAAUCGGACACUGUGACAGGCUUAGCGGUGGAAGGAGUUUGGGGGCAAUUAGGCCUAAGGCCUGAAACCCCAUCAGGAUCCUGGCCUUCUCCCCGAUGCUCCGUGUCUUCAAGGAGUCCACAGCGGCUUGAGGAAAGCACACACACCCAAAAAAGCAUUCUGCCUGAAGGAUUUUGAAACUUGCCUGCAAGUCACUGUCAAAGAUGACACCUUGGCACAUGCAGGUUUUGGAGGCCAUGCCCACAUCACUGAGCACGCUGUCACCACCACCCCCGCCAGUACAGGGUGCUCCCCAGGUCCCGCUGAGGACAGUAUCUUGUAGGAGAUGCCAGCUCCACCCACACACGUUCCUGAGCGCUGGCUCUGUGCCCGGCCUCACAAUGACCCCUGACAACAUGCAGGUGAAGCUGUGGCCCGCCCCAAGAACCUCCAUCCAGUCGGGGACAGAUGAGCAGAUCAGGGGUUACAGCCACUGUGCUGAGAGCCGAGACGGGGGUGCCGACAGCAUCCUCACCCCUGCCACCGUCCCAAAGGUGACAAGGGUGGGGAGCCAGCAUUUGAGCAAUUUCACCUUCUUUGUACAUUCAGAUAUAUUACAUAGAAACCUA